rnacentral:rRNA from 1 species
GACGAACGCUGGCGGCGUGCCUAAUACAUGCAAGUGGGACGCAAGGAAACACACUGUGCUUGCACACCGUGUUCGCCUGAGUCGCGAACGGGUGAGUAACGCGUAGGUUAUCUGCCUAGUAGCGGGGGAUAACUAUUGGAAACGAUAGCUAAUACCUCAUAAUCUUCAUUAUUGCAUGAUAAUUGACUGAAAGAUGCAAGCGUAUCACUAGUAGAUGGACCUGUGUUGUAUUAGCUAGUUGGAAAGGUAAGAGAUUACCAAGGCAACGACCCACAGCCGACCUGAGGGGGUGUCCGCCACCCUGGGACCGGGGCCCGGCCCCAACUCCUACGGGAGGGAGCAGUAGGGGAUCUUCGGCAAUGGGCGGAAGUCUUACCGGGGCACGGCGGGUGGGUGGAGGAGGUUUUCGGGUCGUUAAGCUCUGUUGUUAGUCGAGAACGUGAGUGGGAGUUGAAUGUUCACGCAGUGACGGUAGCUUACCAGAAAGGGACGGCUAACUACGUG